GUGAGGUUAAUAACCUCAUCGAUUGACGUUACCCGCAGAAGAAGCACCGGCUAACUCCGUGCCAGCAGCCGCGGUAAUACGGAGGGUGCAAGCGUUAAUCGGAAUUACUGGGCGUAAAGCGCACGCAGGCGGUCUGUCAAGUCGGAUGUGAAAUCCCCGGGCUCAACCUGGGAACUGCAUUCGAAACUGGCAGGCUAGAGUCUUGUAGAGGGGGGUAGAAUUCCAGGUGUAGCGGUGAAAUGCGUAGAGAUCUGGAGGAAUACCGGUGGCGAAAGCGGCUCCCUGGUCUGUAACUGACGCUGAGGCUCGAAAGCGUGGGGAGCGAACAGGAUUAGAUACCCUGGUAGUCCACGCCGUAAACGAUGAGUGCUAGGUGUUGGAUCCUUUCCGGGAUUCAGUGCCGCAGCUAACGCAUUAAGCACUCCGCCUGGGGGGUACGACCGCAAGGUUG
rnacentral:rRNA from 1 species